GACGAACGCUGGCGGCGUGCUUAACACAUGCAAGUCGAACGGAAAGGCCCUGCUUUUGUGGGGUGCUCGAGUGGCGAACGGGUGAGUAACACGUGAGUAACCUGCCCUUGACUUUGGGAUAACUUCAGGAAACUGGGGCUAAUACCGGAUAGGAGCUCCUGCUGCAUGGUGGGGGUUGGAAAGUUUCGGCGGUUGGGGAUGGACUCGCGGCUUAUCAGCUUGUUGGUGGGGUAGUGGCUUACCAAGGCUUUGACGGGUAGCCGGCCUGAGAGGGUGGCCGGCCACAAUGGGACUGCGAGACGGCCCAGACGCCUACGGGAGGCAGCAGUGGGGAAUAUUGCACAGUGGGCGGAAGCCUGAUACGGCAACGCCGGGUGCGGGAUGACGGCCUUCGGGUUAUAAACCGCUUUCGCCUGUGACGAAGCGUGAGUGACGGUAAUGGGUAAAGAAGCACCGGCUAACUACGUG
rnacentral:rRNA from 1 species